rnacentral:rRNA from 1 species
UACGGGGGGAGCAAGCGUUGUUCGGAUUUACUGGGCGUAAAGGGCGCGUAGGCGGUCAGCACAAGUCAGUUGUGAAAUCUCCGGGCUUAACUCGGAAAGGUCAACUGAUACUGUGCGACUAGAGUGCAGAAGGGCAACUGGAAUUCUCGGUGUAGCGGUGAAAUGCGUAGAGAUCAUGAGGAAGACCAGUGGCGAAGGCGGGUCUCUGGACAGUUCCUGACACUGAGACACGAAGGCCAGGGGAGACAAAG